GUCCAGUUGGCCUAUGGUAAAUUUGGGGAGACCCCAUAUGGCAAGUGCAGGGAUAUGGCCCCCUGCUGUCAGUGGUUUUGGAUUUCAGUCAUCAUCAUCAUCAUCUUCUGGUCCAUCAACAGUUAAUCUGGGUAGUGAGGGUUCUAAUUACUUGCAGAAGAUUGGGUUCCCAGGGUUUGACUUGCCAUCAAGCAAUAUGGGGCCAAUGAGUUUUACCUCAAUUUUGGGUGCUACAAACCAGCAGCUUCCAGGAUUGGAGCUUGGGCUAUCCCAAGAUUCUCAUAUUGGGGUUUUGAAUCCUCAAGCAAUGAACCAGCUUUACCAGCAGAUGGGAGAGUCUAGGAUGCACUCUCAACAGCAGCAGCAUCAGCUUCAGCAGCAACCAUCUCCCAAGGAUGAUUCUCAGGGAUCGGGACAGUAGAUUGGUUCGAAAUACAUAUUCAAGUUUCGAAAAGCACGAAAAAUGAAGGGGUAUCUUUGCGGAGAAGAUGGAUUUUGUGGAUGAUUUGGUUUCUUUCACUGUAACUAUCCAAGAAUUCUAAAAGGUGUGCAUUUGGUUUGCUCAUCCUUCCUUCUCCCAGGCCUACAGCUUCAUCCCAUUCUCCAGAUACAGGUUCUCCUGGAUCAUCAUUUUAUUGUUUUCAUUUUACCUUCAAGUUCCUGUAUAAAUUAUAGAGAUGUUAGAUGUCACUUUUACAGAAUUGCUUAUGCUCUGAAAUCUGGAGGUGGAACUGUG
rnacentral:lncRNA from 1 species